rnacentral:rRNA from 1 species
ACUGCCUGCCCAGUGACACCUGUUCAACGGCCGCGGUAUUAUGACCGUGCAAAGGUAGCGUAAUCACUUGUCUUUUAAAUAAAGACCUGUAUGAAUGGCAAAACGAAAACUCAACUGUCUCCUCAGACUAGUCAGUGAAAUUGAUAUCCCCGUGAAGAAGCAGGGAUAAAAAUAUAAGACGAGAAGACCCUAUGGAGCUUUAAACCAAAAUUAACCAUAACUAAUAAAUUUUAAAAAUGGGCUUAAUUAUUAAGUUUUAGGUUGGGGCGACCACGGGGUAAAAAAUAACCCCCGAGAUAAAAAUUAAGAAGGACACUUCAAGAAAUAGUAAUAUUAAUAUAAUUGACCCACCAGGUGAUCAACGAACCAAGUUACCCUAGGGAUAACAGCGCAAUCCUUUCACAGAGUCCCUAUCGACGAACGGGUUUACGACCUCGAUGUUGGAUCAGGACCCCCAAAUGGUGCAAAAGCUAUUAAAGG